UACGUAGGAUCCAAGCGUUGUCCGGAUUUACUGGGUGUAAAGGGUGCGCAGGCGGACUGGUUAGUCUGGGGUGAAAUCUCAUCUCUUAACGGUGAAACUGCCUUAGAUACUGCCAGUCUUGAAUCAGCGAGAGGUUCGUGGAAUUCCGAGUGUAGCAGUGAAAUGUGUAGAUAUCAGGAGGAACACCGGUGGCGAAGGCGGGUCUCUGGGCAACAACUGACGCUGAGGAGCGAAAGCGUGGGGAGCGAACAGG
rnacentral:rRNA from 1 species